rnacentral:rRNA from 1 species
CCUACGGGGGGCUGCAGUUAGGAAUUUUCCACAAUGGGCGAAAGCCUGAUGGAGCAACGCCGCGUGCAGGAUGAAGGCCCUCGGGUCGUAAACUGCUUUUGUUAGUGACGAUUAUGACGGUAGCUAACGAAUAAGGGUCGGCUAACUACGUGCCAGCAGCCGCGGUCAUACGUAGGACCCAAGCGUUAUCCGGAAUUACUGGGCGUAAAGAGUUGCGUAGGCGGCUAUGUAAGCAAGGUGUGAAAGCGUGUGGCUCAACCAUACAUCCAUGCCUU